ensembl:lncRNA
GAGGGUGUUUUGCUGGAGACCUCUCCCUCCUGGAGGCCUUCUGAAGGCCCUCCAGUGGCACUGCACACAUGGGUAUGCAAUAGAUUUGAACCUGGAGCUCGAAGUGCUCCCCUCCAGCAGCAGCAGCAGCAGGGCUGCAGACAAUUUUGUGGAGCUGAGCAGGGCGGCAAUGAAUACUGCAAUGUUCUGCAGUGACCCCUCGGAGCCAUCUGGAGGUGGCGUGGGCCCACAGGAGGCAGAGGAGGCUCUGCAACGCAAAGACUCACCCACAAUUCAUUGAAGACUGUGCUGUAUGAAAAUACAGGAAGAUUGGAGUGGGAGUACUGGAAGAUGAUGGAAGAGAACACUGCUGAAUGAAGGUGCUCAAACAAAUACUACAAGAACUACCCAUCCAACAGCAAUGGAGAGAGGAACGUGGAGGAGAAAACAGUAGUUCUUCCUUCUGGAUGGCCGUGUGGCCUUCUGGAUGUGUUGGAAAGCUGAGUGCUCUGACAUGCUGGCUUUUUACUUUGACCAUAUUCACAUCCAGGUGUGUGAUGAUUUUCAUGCUUAUGUAUGGGAAGCAGAGACAGAGUUGGUCCUGAUGGAAGAAGAGACUCUUGUAGCUGACAGCUGGCAGUGCUGUCCCCAGUACAGCAAUUUAGGGAUCAGCAGCUGGCUGAUGAGAUUGAAGGUCAAAGCCCGAACAGUCUGGUCUGAAAGAAGAAAACAACAGAGCUGCAAAGUUAGUGAUACAGUGCCUGUCCCAUGUGCACACAUUCAAUGUUAUGGAUUUUGUUACAAAAAUUAGAAUGCAGAAACAUGAAAAUGCAAUGUGAGACAUUUAAGAGGUGAAUGAGGAGAUGCUUAUUCCUUCUUUCCUCCCACAUCGUCUCAGCCCAAAUACGCAGGUUUUUGUCAAGUUGUCUGAUAACUUUUCAGGCACAGCCUUACUACUUUCCACAAAAUGUGAAUGGAAGUUGGUGGAUAUAUUGCAUGGGGAGACAAGUUGGAAGUGGAACUGGCUGGAUUAGCCUUGGACAAAAGCAUGUCUGUUAAAGGAUAACUUUCUGAAUGCAACAAUGCCAGCAGAGUGGCACUUGUGUUCACCAGCACUGGACAUGUGGAAAUCAGAGUGUCUGUGUGUAACAGACAGGUGUUAAAGCACAGUUGAUGCUAAACUUGGGCUCACAGUUUUGUAUGUACUGAGUGCAGUGUGGGGCACUGAUUAUUGCACAGUGAGAAUUGGAUCUGAAGAAGUAAUAAUUUUCUCCAUGGUUUUUGUCUGAAACAAAUGAAAGUUAUCAUAGAAAUAUAUCACUGGAGACAUUCCUGGAAAGAACAUUCUGUGCAAUUAUUUGUGCCUGCUAGAGGCAUAACAAAAUGUAAAGGCUGAAAACUCAAGCUGGGAAAAUGCACUUCAGGAUCAUGACGUGGGUUUUCAGUAGUGCAAUGCUCUCCGUGGGCAUGGGCUAUUGAGAGAAGCAGUCAACUUCAGCACUGCAGAUGAAAGGAUUCAGGACUGGAAGCUUCUAUAAAAAAAAAAAAAAUUGUCUGAGUCCAUGAGCAGUUACUGAACUUGCUGACAAGUAUAUAUGCACAGCAAGGCAUACUAAGUAAUGGCCCCUAUUUGUUCCCAUGGAAACUGGAACAGAUUAAAAGAGCACAAUAACACAAUCUGAAAGAGCAAGUUCUCAGCUCUAAAUCACUGUUUUUCAACAUAGUUAUCACUGUUAACUCUGCAUUUUCACCAGUAAUGAACAAGGUUCUGCAUGCUGUGCUCAUAAAUAUCUGCAUGGCCAUCCACAGCAUCUUAUUUUUCACAUUGCUGUCACCACCCAUGAAAUACAGCACCCGCUGUCUCCUUGUGCCAACAGCCACACUUAGGGCUCCAUAAACACUCAGUGAAUGUCAAUAAAUGUCAAUGGGUGCAUAUUUUUCCUCACAGGGGAAUUUGGUUCCACCCUUUGCUCCAUCCCCACUUCCACGAGGCACUGUUCUGUCAGACCGCCCCUCUGCUGCCCUCUGUUACACAGCACCAAAUGAAUACUGGCAGGAACAUCCAACCCCUGCUGCCAUACCACCUCCAUCCACCUCUGAUGGCAAUGGCCAACAUUGUAAAAUAGGAGGCACUAUUUUUGAAGCAGCCCUCGUAAUGUUCUUCAUUGCAGGUAUUACUGAGCAAAAUUGUGUCUGCUUGUGUUUCAGGUCAGGUUAGAUGACAGUGGCCUUCUCUAGCCUUGGUUGUGACAGAGACAGUGAGGGUUUGCAAGAGACAAAACCACAAAAAUCAGCUGUUUGAGCAGUGACCAUUCCCUUGUUAGGGGCAGGAUUGCACCACAGUGGUUGGACAUGCGUAGAGCUUACGGUAGGUUGUGCAGCACUGUGAGCUGAAAGGCCAGUUAGCACACUCAAUAUUGGUUGCUGUAAAAGAGCACUAAUGAGUGUGCUAAUUAUGUAGCAGCUUGCAGUGACACACACAUAGAAAAUUGUGAUGAUUGGAUGUUGAAAUAUUCCUUCACAUGUUUUUAUUUUGGUAAAAGUUCAAUUAGUUUGAUGCAAUUUACCUUGUGCUGUCCUGUUCACUGAAGAUUGACUAUAGCGACUACCCAUGGAGACUCAGAGGGCCGUGAUGACCCAGGUGACUCAGACUUCUUGCUGUGUUAGAAGCAAAUUCUGCACAACCGAACUCUCCUUUCUGAGGCCAGCAUGGUUGGGUAGCCAACCACAGACAAAGGCCAUUAAUGCACAGAGAGACAUACAAGAUUAUAAAACUCACAGUCUUCAGCUAGGAGCCUUAGGAAGAACAGAAGUUUCCCUUAUCUUAUGUGUUAAUUUGUAUCUGCAUGUAUUGGAGCCAAUAGAAACGAUGUAUUAGUCAUUCUCAAAACAAAAUUGUAUAAGUAAGCCAUUUCCCCCCCCCCAAGUAUUUCAUUAUCUGGAACACUGCAGUCAUUUUUAUCUGUUUUUAGAAUUCAUUUGUCAGUGUCUUUCAAGAACUCUUGCCUUGAUGCACUUUGUCCAGAGUGGGCUACCCAGUACUGCACUUAGAUAGGAAAGGAGAAGUGAGAAGAAGAAAGGGAGUUUGGAAAUGCAAAGAGCUCACAAAGUCACCCAUUAAUCCGUUUACACGUAGAAGUGAACUUCACAAUGUGAUCUAAAUGGCUGCUGGGGAUUUCAGGCACUCCCAUUAAGAGAAGAUUAUGAUUCCACUGUCUUACUGUGUAAGAGGUAAUGUAGGAAAGGCUGAGCAGCAGCUGGAUGUUCAAACUGAGGGUUUUCUUUAACCAUUUCAGCACGUUUCCUUGAAGCCUUUAGUCUCAUCCAUUUGGAUGGGCAGCAGAGGAAAUUUUGUUUAUGGUUAGGCUCGUUCCAGCCAUGAAAUUAACAGAAUAAGUACAGAUAAAAGUAGAAAGAUUAGGGAGAUUUUAAUUUGGUACAGGCAUUCUUAAAUGUUUAUUUGCUUUUUGGUCUUGGAACUUGCCCCAUCACUUAAUGAAUAAGAAUGCUCCAUAGCAGCUGCAAAGAACAGCGGUGAGAUGAAGGCAGUAUGAAUUGAGUGGCCUGGGACAAAUAGUAAAGUUAGGAGCAUUAACAAAAUCAUUUUUGACAACUGAUGUAAACUGAAAGCUGCAGAUCAUACAAGAAGGAAGGGUGAGAGGUACCAGGAGGCAGUCACUGCUUUGUGUUUUAUUUCCAUAACAAAACUGACUUAAAUGAUGCCAUGCAGUUGGUGACAACAUAGCCUUCCUAAAGAUCUGUAAAGCAGAGCUCCCUCAUCCUUGGCAUCUCAUCAUCUUGGUGAAGAUGAGUGAGUAAAACAUAUUCUCCACACCUGUGAAUGAUUUCCACAGCUGACUCUGAAGCAGUGGUAUGCUCUAAUUUCCAGAAGUUGGGAGAGCUGCAGCCUAAGGCCACUUCUCCGCAUCCCUGCAUGACCUCGUGCUGCAGCACUGCCAUCCUCAGGGGGCACCCGGGGUCCCUCACACUGAGCUGUUGUGCUGCACCUCCUUAUGUCACCCUGUGACCAUUUCAGCAGAUGUGAAGUUAGGAGAGCACCUGAGGGUUUUAUUUAUCCUGGACAAUGGCUGAGUUAAGCAGACGUUGGUAUCUGUGCCUUGAAAUGAGUGGGAUUAAUGAAUGUCUACAGUUUCCACUGUUAAGAUUGAAGAAGAAAUUCUUAAGGCCUUCGCUGCCCACAGAAUGUACAGACAUUCCUUUUUUUGGCUCUUUUUCUCCCGUGUUUCCCAAAAUUCCCAUAGAACCCAAGGAGAGCAUUGGUACAGCAUUGUUUUUAUAGCACUCUGGGUUCGCAGCAUUCUAAAACACAUCAGUGACUCAUCUGAAGUUUUUGAUUACAACUUCUUGCCUCAGUGCUUACAUUCACUUCUUAAAUAUUGACGGUGUCCUGAAAAAGUCGUGUUACCAAGGAGAAAGUAGCAAUGGUUUAUCAGAACACACAGUGCUUGAUAACCCCUGCAGAAGGGUAGAACUUUGAUUCACAGCUACUUUAUUUCUGCUUUAUGCCAACUUAAUUAUAUCCUAAACGGGGGACAAAAGGACCUUUUCCCACCUUUGCUAUUGUGUCACUCUUUCACUCUGCUGACACACCAAGGCUUCCCAGAUCUCCAUUCUGCUCCGUUCCAGGGGAUGUGUUACCUCAAAUCACUUACAGCAUGUUUAGCCAGUAGGAGUUUGUGAAUUGUUUUAUCAUUCUUGCUGGAAAAUUUGUUGAAUUGUUGAUAUCACUCCUAAUAGUUUCCAGCUUUGUGUCAUUUAUGUUCAUGUGAGUUGCUUUUUUUUUUCUUUUUUUUUUUUUUUUUUAAUUUAUUGAACACAUUCAUCAGGCAUUAUUUAUGGAGUUUGAUGUUAUUACAGCCAUGAUUGUGAGAUGUGAUAUUUUCCUGGUGUUUCAUUUUAUUAUCCUUUGCAUACACUGUAAAGACUCAGCUCUGCCCAUCAAACAACUUUUGCUUUGGUUUUCAGUCAGGUUAACAGUCUCUUGUUUUUAACACCAUCUUUUCCAAGAAACCAGCAAAGGUUACCUGACUGUUUUUCACAUCCUCUCAGGUAUUUCAGUGAGCUCUCCUUGUGCUGCUGAUUGCUUUCCUUUGCAAAUCAGAGCCUUUUUCAGCUUGACUGUAUAAAGGACUCUCCAAGUGCACCUUUGGGUGCUUAUGGAAACAUUGUCAGCUAGGAGCAGAUGACUGGAAAUUAGCUCAAGGCUCCAUAUUUUGAGAUCAGCAGUCACAGAAUAAUGACGGUAUUUUCCUUCAUGUGUUUAAGAGUCAUGGAUUACUCCCCCUGCUUUACAGCUGGACCGAGCAGCGUGGCUCCAGUAGACUGUGGAGGAGCUGCAUUACAAGUCUUAACUCUGUUGAGUGCUUGGAAACUAAUCAGGGAGUAUGCUGUUACCUCGCAGGUCCUCAGAAUUUUGACUGUGAUUUGCAAUUCCUGUGACGAUUUGCAGACUUGCCCAGCACCAUCUGAGCAUUAUCUAAAGCAGUCACACCCUGAGACUCUUUGAGAUCUUCCUUGGGAAAACCAGAGCCCAGUUCUGUGCCUGACCACUCUUUCAGAGAAGAAAAUUUUCCCAAUAUCUAACCUGAACCUCUCCUGGUGCAUCUAGAUGCCUUUCCCUCUCAUCCCAUCACCACAUACACAGGAGAAGAGAAUGACCCCCACCUCACCACAGUAAGGUCUCCCCUGAGCCUUCUCUUCUCCAGACUGAACAAUCCCAGUUCCCUCAGCUGCUCCAGACACCUCCCCAUGUUGGCCAAAGCCCCACCCAGUUCACUGAUAGGGUACCCACACUGCUCUGGCCAUCCUAUGCCAGUGUCUCAUUGUUCUCAAGGUGAAGAAUUUCUUCCAAAGUCUUGAAUUUCUUUUACAUCUGCCUGUGUACAAGCAGGUGACAUCAUCUGGUGGAUGGAUCCAUUAGUGAUUCAGGCAGCUGGAAGCCAAAUUUGAACUUUUCUGCUGUUUUCCAUCCAAAAACCACAGUAUGCUUGAAAAAAGAAAAAAAAAUGUUGUAAAUAAAGACUCUUAAUUGCUACUAGAGCAAAAGGAGUAAUGGAUAUUUUCUACAGAUGGAAAUAAUACAUAAAGCAACACAUGCAGCAUUUGUUAGUAUUACAAAAGUGAGGACAUACAAAAGAAGCACAGAAUGGUUGACAUUGGAUGGAGCCCAUGGAGAUUGCUUAGUCCAGACCCCCUGCAUGAAGGCAGGAGCAGCUACAGCAGGCUGUCCAGCUGUGCCUGGGUGACUGCUGGCUGUGUCCAAGGAUGAAGACUCCACAGCCUCUAAGGAAUCUGUCACAGCACUUGACUGUACCUAUGAGGAAAAAAAAAUAACUUAGGCCUAAAUGGUAUAUCCUGUAUUUUGGUUUGUGACCCAAAACUACAUUAGAUUUAAGCACGUGUCUUCUAUUCAUGUUCAGUUAUUGAAGACAAGAUGACAACAAAUAGCAGCACAUUGCCCUGACUCCUCGCCCUAUGGCACAAGCACCACUGUCACCGCUACUAACAUCAGAGAUGAGUUCAUAGCAGACAUUUCAUAAGACAUCUGAUGCAGAAUGCAAGCUGCUAAACACUGAUGUUCUCAGGUCUCUGAAACUGAGGUACAAAGGCUGUAUGUGUGUUUGAAAAGCAAACAAACAACAGAGACAGAAAGAUGUAUAGGCUAACAAACUCAACACAUUGCUGCAACUGUUUCAAGAGCUUUAUUUAUUACAAGCACUUUGGAAGGAAGGACAAAAGCAUAUGCCAGAAAAUGAUUAAAGAGUGAACUGGGGAAGUUUAGACUCCUUCGGAAUAAAUCUAAGUAAUGGACAGCAUUUAUUAUGUCUGUUUAAAAGCAAAGUAAUAAGGACAAAGGGUAAAUCUACACUAGCAAUUAGCUAUGAAUUCUUUUUUUGUGUCUAUGCCACCCAGCUACAGUCAUGUCAGCUUUCUAUAUUCACUUGCCAGAAAAAGAGCUGUGCAAAACCAUGACUUUUGUUCAGGCAGGAGGUAGAUAUAUGCUUCAGCUGCUGUCCACAGCUGCACACAAUCAAUAUGCACCAGGCCUGCAAAUACAGAGAGAUCUUCCCCCAAAAAAUCUUACUCCAGGCUGAAUUCCAAUUCCUUACUAAGAUAUCUUUUUUUUUUUUUUUUUUUUUCCCCCCACUGGCAUCAGUUUUCCCAAAUGCUGACCCCAAAUUCCCCUUCUGUCUACCUGGAAACCUGGCUGGUAGACCCACACUGGGCAUUUAACCCCAUAUUUCCUUGCAGUCUGCGAGUCUGUACUUGGCUCAACUGUUCCAGCUGAGCUCCUUCUAUUGCAGUGUACCUGGGUACUUACUUCCAUUGUGCUGCCUGGAGAACAUGGGGCUCCCUGAUCAGUGCUUGAAGGAACGCCACACAGCCCCUGAGCCUGGCCAUAGAAUCAUAGAAUCACAGAAUCACCAAGGUUGGAAAAGACAAGAUCAUCCAGUCCAACCAUCCACCCACCACCAGCAGCUCUCACUAAACCACGUCCCUCAACACAGCGUGUACAGCAGCUCCAGUAGCUGCCACAGCACACCAUCCAAAUGACCUCUUAGAUAUGGGUGUGUUCUGCUGGAGUGCAGAGUGGAGACACAUCACUGUCCUGAAGGGAAGGGCACAAACUGGAGGUGCAGUGGUGCUCAGGAUGUGUCCUUGCUGUGCAGAGUCUGACAAGUAUUUAUCAGUGCUCCACCACCUCAGUCCAUUUUGAUUUCCUUCCUUACAUCAAUUCUUUGCAUCAAAAGGAGGAACUAUACAUUCACACACCAUUUUACACUGCAAAAAACAUAACUUGUCUUGUGUUGUUGUAGUUCAUGGCAAUAUUCCAGGCUUCCAGGUAAAUGUUUCAUCAUUGGAUCUCAAAGAUAGUUAAUAGUCAACAGUGAAUAAGUUCUGCCAUUGCAAUAUUCUGCUCAGAUGUUGGCAAAGCUACGCACAUCUGAUUGUUUUCAUGCAAAUGCUCUCCUUUACCACAGAAGUUUGUUGCUGUAAAGAGAAGAAAUAAUUGAUGCUGGGAUGCAAAAUCCCCUCAAGUGAAGGCAUUGCACACUGGGAAAAUUACAUGGUAAGGAACAAAGUUUCCUAUUAUCUGUUACCUUCUCGACAGGACAUUUUAUAACAUUUAUGUACUUGCGUGUGGCAUCAGCUGUUUUGGCAGCUGAAGAAGUAGUUACUCAUGCCUUUGUAGCACUACAAAAUGUAUUUCAUGCUGAUUAAGCUCACAAACAGGAGGCUUCAGCCUGCAGCAUUUGAACAUCUGGAUGUAGUUACUGAGUUAUGUCACCUUUCAUCAGCUCAGGAGUGCAGUGCAGAGCAGCCUGAUGGGCUCUGUUAGUGAGGGGUGGGCGCAACAUUUUUGUCUGCGUUUCUUCAGAGUUCACAAGUCAAAUGCCUGCGUGACUCUUGGUGAGGACACAGAUCUGACAAUUACUGUAUGCUCAGAGUUAUUCAGAACACAGUUUUCCAUCUGAGUCUCAAGAGGCUUGCCCACAGUCGUGUCACGCAUUAUCCUCUCAGCAUGAUUUAUUGCGUGUGAUUAAGCAGAAGAGACUAUUUCCCAGUUUGAACUACCAAAUGUGUUUUCCCCAUUCAAACUUUCAUUCGGUUUUCAGACUGUGACUCGUUAUCUCUCUUCCUUUCCCUGUUUUUCUCCAAUUUGCACUAUUACCUACUGAAUAUGCAGCCUGUUUAUGGUCAGCAGCUUUAGAAUUUUUAGAUGGCUCCCUUUCUCCAACUACUUGGAUGAAUCACUGUUCUUUGCAGUUUCUUUGUUGCCAAUGUUCUGAAAUGCCAAACUGUAAUGGUUUACUCAUCCUGUUGAAUUUAGUAGUUGUUUUGCAGGGACUGCAACCCAGAUAAAUUAUGGUAUUUGCCUCUUUAUUCCACUUUGUUCAUUCCUGAACUUGGGCUGGAUGUUUUUUGCUGUUCCUUUUAGAAGCCUAAGUGGGAAUCCAGUACAAAAUUAGAAACUGGAUUUCAUUUAUGUCACUUCCCUUGCCACAUAGUAUUUUUCAUCUAAGAACAGAAGCCACAAAACCCCUCUGAUCAAAGGAUGGGAACACUUCUAUUUUCUUCCCUAACUGCACAUACCUCCCCAUUACCCCAUGGGACCGUGCUUUGAAUCUUGAUAGGGCAGCAUCAAGAUGUGACCUUGCUUUUUUAGAGAUAAUUUUAACACCAGCACUGGGUCAGGCAUGUGAGAACCAAACCCCUCAAGGGUUCCAUCUUCUUUACAGAGCAUCUCUGUAAAACAGCAAGAACUUGAUGGUGAACGGGGAAUGAGAGGAAAGGCUGUUUGAUUUGCGCUGCAUUGUUCCACAUGUAAUUCCUAUUGUCAGUUUGUCACAUGUGGCUUCUGUAAGACAUCACGGCUGUGUCACAGACUCUGAGAUUAACAGAAUUGUUGCCAUGGGCAUGAGUGUUGUACAAUGGACAGUUUCAGAAAAGCCACCAAGCGAACAGCAUUUAGCAGAAUGUGUUACAUCCUCAGUAAAGAAACCUGUCCUUAAAGCUGGAUUCAACUGAUUUCUUAAUGAAAAUAGAUUCCUAUCCCCUAUCACUCUGCUAACACUUUUCUGUACUUUAUGUAGGGCAACAGAAACCUUGUUCUGGAGAAGAAAGAGCACCCAAGUGUCUUUAUUAAAAGCUCUGUGGGGACAGGCUCAGAAGAAAGUCCUCCUGGCAAUCCCAUUUUCAGAAUGAACCAGAAUGAGUUCCACAGACAGAAUGUGCAGUUGUCUUGAACUGGAGUUACAUCUGAUCUAAAGAUUGUAUUGACCCAGUGAUUGUGCUGAACAGUGCUGAAACUGUGGCACGGGGCUUCUGCUUUCCAAAGUACUGACAUAGAGAAGUAAAUGAGUUCAGAGCCGCUGUGCAGCCACAUGGCUGGGUCAGAAUGAGAUCUGUGUGCAGGGCCAGAAGCACCCCUUAUUGUCCUUUGGGUAUGUGCAUUGUGACAGAGACUGCUGUGCUACUGCACUAUGCCUGUGAGGCUGGCAGCUGGCUGGGAGGGAGGGCCCUCUGUGCCCCCCUGUGUCCCUCUCUGUGCCACAUCUGGGUUUCAUGAAGCUGAAAUCCAACUUUAACAUAACCAUUUUUCUUGGAAAAUCAGAUCCUUUUGGGCAGUGAAUAUCCACAGGCCACAGUGUGCAGCAGCACUGUGAAUGUAAGGGGUACGUGUGCUUGCUUUCUUUCUGUUCAUAUUGACUGUUAAGAACUAGACUGGAGAUUCAGAAAGGGCAUAAAGGCCAUGGGUUGAAAAGCCCUGCUCCAGAGGACCCUGUCUGGAAACAAGUAUUCCUUCAGACACAGUAACGAGGCAUUCCCUGUAGUAGCUACAUGUGUUUCUCACUGUUGGGCUGCAUUUUCUCUCAUGUUUAUUUCAACAAAAAUGCCUUUUCUUCUUCUUUGCUCCCCAGUCCUGCCCUGCGGCCUUGCUGUGACCGCACGCUGCCUUGACAGUGAUCACUGGCUGGAACGAUGUGCUUCGCCAAGGUUGUCUUUAUUUAGACAAGGCUGCUGCUUUCUGAACUGCUUGCGGGAACAGAGGGGUCAUGCAGUAACCACUCUGCACCUCCUGUGUCAGAGGACUGUGGCGCACUCAGGGGAACACGCCUUUGGUAUUUUUCUAUGUUCUAACAGGGAAAACGGGGUAUUUGGAAUAAAGCAGCAAUGAAACAGACAGUAAGGUGGGCUUUUCUUUGAGUAUAACCCCAGAUUCUGGUCAGUCCAGCCUGAUCCCAGACAGAUAGCCAUGGCAGCAGCCUGAGCUCAGGCAUGGCUUCAUCUUCCUGCCUUUCCUGUAUUAAAGAACAUGGCAGCUUGCACUACAAAUAAUGUAUCUGUGCUGUUUACUACCACUGCCAGCAUUCCAGGAGAGCCAGAAGGGUCUGACACAGAUCGGCCUCUGGUUGUUGCCACAGCACCUGCGGAUGGUGUUUGUACUGAGGUCACAUUCAGAUGCAAGAAAGGUUACAAGCUGCCAAUAAUAAGAGUAACAAAAUACAGAUUUCCUCAGACCAGUGGCAAAGCCAGGAAUGGAGCUCAGGUUACUGCCUGCUAAACUUACAGCCUGUCCCAAAUUUAUACCAGAUGAGUGUAACAGGUUGGCAUGGAGUUAGUGCAAUUAAAUUCCAUACAUGUGGGUAACCCUUUGUUUAGUUACCAAGCCUAAACUCAAGAGCUGGGGUAGGAAACAAAGUGCAUAUGAUGCAAUGUGUAUUUUUUUAAAACUGGAAAACCAAAUUCAGGGUUGUGAGCCUGAAUCUCAGUUAGUAUAGGCUGUGAAUUCUGAUGAGUCUGUGCAGAACAACAGGAUCUGAGCGUGGGUGUUGGUUUCAUAUCCCAACACAGAAGAUUUGGGAUGAAUAUUUCAUAAGUUCACAAAGGUCCUGAGGAAUAUGCAUGAUAAAAAAAGUACUGGUUAGUUUGAAAGAGGUUAACAGCUUUCUAAAUAGAAUAAAGUAGAUAUCAUGGGGCUCUCAGCUAGAUAAAUGCAGGCAUAUUUCCUAAUUUCUCUGCUGCAAAACAGUCCUCUACUUCUCGCUGAGUCUUUUCCUUUUAUAAGGUGAGGACUGGAGGACUCAGACAAAACAGAUGAUGUUUGGUCAGAUGAGGGUUUAAAUCUGGCAGCUAAUGUUGCCCAUAGCACUGCCUGCGCUGAAGAGAGAGAAAUUGUGCAGUAGGCAGGUAAUUCAUAACCCUGGAGAGGUAUCUGAAUAACAGGACAGAAUUGCUCUGUUACAGCUCCAGCCCCUGCAGUGAAAUCCAUCUGCAUGCAUUGCACCCAACCUGUUGGUCACAUCCAUGAGUGCCCCUGGCACAUACAGCCUUCCUACCACAUUGGUGUAGUUCAUGUGAUACACACUCAUACUGAGCAAUCCAUGAAUGGGUCUGUACAGCCGUCUAAGAGGGACAGUGUUACAGUCAUGUGGUCAUAAUAAAUCAUAAAUCUGUGCCACCCCUUUAACAAAUGAUUUCCCCAUCUACAUGCUAAAGUUGAGGUACAAAUUUUUUUUUAUUUUUUUUUUUGCCAAUAUCUUUGCUGAAAUCGAGUGUUUGGAUGGAUUAUGUGCAUGACUUUCCUUUUAAAUACCACUAAACUGAUGUUUGUGAUGUGCUUGAUUGACUGUUAAUGAAGGAUAAACUGGGGUUACAAACACAACUCUGUGUUGCCUCAACUCUUACUCUGCCCUGGAGUCAAUUCUUAUCUGUGUGGCUGCAUUUGGGUAUGGGAGAAAACUUCAAAUACUCAUAAUCAGAAAAAAAAAAAAAAAAAGUUCUCUAAUAUUCAAAGUCUUUAAUAUAGGCUUUGCUGGAACAUCAUUUGAAAAGUGUAAUUCCACAUUUCACAUAAACCAUCACAGUAACUCUUGGAAUCAGAAGCAGAGAGGCUGAUCCUCCCUUCAUCUGCACAGCCCUCACCUCUGCUGUCAUUAGCAGGUUCUCCAACCACUACCAAUGCAGGUGGUUUUUUGUUCACUAAACUUCCAGAAUGUAACUUCAUGGCCCACACAGGAGCAAUCCUUCUCUACCUGAACACUUAGACAGUGAAAAGAUAUCCACGUCUGCCUGUGCAUGGACACAGAUGUGCAAACAAAAUAACCAUCUUGAGUUUUAUUUCCUUACAAAAAUUUAAGAAGUCAGGCUCAAAGAAGAGGAGGAAGAGGAAAUACUGCUUGGGCUUCCCAGUCAGUCAUUUGUGAAAUAAACAAACACGGAAUCGAUUUGUUUUGUAUUUCAGCAUGAAAACAGACUGAAAUCUGCGUGGGAGUUGAAAUCAAAGCAUAAAUAGAUGUAAAAAAAAAAAAAAAAAUCCAGUGGAGGAUCUAAGGGCAAAAAGCCACCUGGGAAGGGCCAGGAUGACCCCACCAGGCUGUCCCGUGCGGUGGGUACCCUCUGGCUGCUAUGCAUGGAGGUCCCCAAAGAUCUGAACCAAAGGCUCCGAGGGCAGCCCUUCCUCCAGCAGCACCGGGAGGAGCAGGCAGAGCUCCCAGAGCUGGCAGAACAGCACCUGGAGCAGAAGCUGAGCAUGAAGCUGGCCAGCUGGGAAAUGAGCUAAUGAGGUGCAGAUGGUAUGAUUCUUAGAGCACAAAGUGCAGGUCAUGGCUGCUGUUGCUCUCCUGGGAAGCUGGAAAGAAGGUGGUUCUGCUGCUCUGUUUCUCCUGCUGGUAUUUUGCCCAGCUAGCUGUGUGCUACAAAUGAGCUGGUGCUCUCUAACAGCACUAGGAAUGGCCUUUGUUUGCCAUUAAUGUUAAAAAGAGAUCAGCUAUUUACAGACGGCUUGGUAGUUUUUCUUUCCUGAAUGCUUCCUUGUGUCUUGAGUUCAUAGUGCUGCUGGAGCACACUAGGAAGGGUGCCUUUCUGCAACAUCCAUGUGCUGCAAGUGAGGUUCAGGCAGCUCAGCCCAAACCUGGCUCACACCAUCCAGCUGCCAGCCUUGGCAUUCAGCUUGUAGAAGGCUUUGACAAGGUGAAGAGCAGUUCAGUUGAGCUCAUGUUCAGCACACAGCACAGACUGAAGGUAUACAGAGAUCAGCUGUGAGGCAGAGCAUGAACAGCGAAUCCUACGUGAUGACUGAAAAAGCUGUCUCUGGGACCAACCGAGGGAGAAGAAAUCUGAAAUAGCCAAAUGGAUAUCUUUUCUUACCUGGACUGAUUUGCAAUAAGAAGUGCAUGGAAACAGCUUGGAGUUGGAAUAUGAGAGAGGAAGAAGAGGAGAGCUGCUCCCAGCCCUGCUGCUGACUCACUGCCACUCUCUACCAUUAGAAAACCGAAAUAAAUCAUUGUAUCACCACUUCCUUCUGUCCAGAUCUGCAGUGAGGUUUACACUGGAAAAGGUUGUAAAGCAUUCUGCUGCUCACAAAUGGGGAAACUGCAGGGAGGGAAAAGCACAGAUGUCUGACCAUGGUCUGACCAUUUGAUCAAAGAAAUGAAAUUUCCAAAGGCUGCCAUGUCUGUCUUCUGGGAUUGGGAUUCAUCCUUCUGUGUCCCCAUUGACUUCUCCAAAUCCUAGGAAAGGACUUGAAAUACUUUGCUUUAUCUGCGGGAAGGCAGAAGCUGCCUGAAAUCUGAAGAUUCUCUGAAUGCUGUUAAGUGAACGGAGCCCUCAGUGCAGAGCCAUUGCAGCAAACCGCAGCAGCACCGUCCUGCACAGACAGCACUGCUCCCUCCCCUGCCUGGGCUGGGAGAACCCGAGUAUACUGCUAGAGUUUGAAUUUCUCCCUGGCACUUCAGUGUUUUAAGAGCAUUGUUAAGUUGUAAGUGUUGAUAGGAACAGUCCUGAACAGUCCUGGUUGUUGGAACUAUAUAUAUAUAUUUUUUAAGAACGCUCUCCCAGCAGCUCUGGCUGACAGCGUCAGUGAGAGGCAAAGCUCUGGAUGUGGCACGGGAAGGAAUGUGCUCCUUGUUAGGCAGGGUGGUCCCUGGGCAGCAUGUAGUAAAGCCUCUGGGAACUCCUAUGGCAGGGAAGCUGUUCUCCCACCUUCUGCAGCACAUUGAGACAGACGUUCUACAGCAGAAAUGCAAAGUCAUGGCCUGAAGCAGUGAUGGAGCACCUGGUGGGAAGGCAGGGCCAAUCCAGAUGCACACAACUCUGCUAUCGGGUUACCUGGGAACGGCGCCUACCGCAGAAAGUGGCCUUAGGACUGUUUUGACGGGGCCAGUAAGGGGAGCUCAAGUCUUGUUUACAGUAGGUCCUACACCUAUGGGCUCUGCUGGCUGCUUGGCCAGAAGGACUCCGCGUGGGCACAGCGCUGCUCAGCCUGCGGGACAGGGGCACCCACUGCUGCUCCCAUGGCUGAUGUGGAGCAGGGAACGGAGGGCGCACUGCUCACCAACAAAGGGCGCUGGGCUUCAUUAGGUGCAAAGAGAAAAGUGUGCAGAUACUGAAGUGCAAAGGGGCAGCGCGGCUGAGCUGAAGUCCCGAGGGAAAUGCCAGCGCCCGGUGAGGGGAACGCUUUUCCCCGAAUUCCGCCUGCCGCACAGAUUGGAGCAGGCGAAGGGCAGAGCAGAGCAGUGCAGGUCGGGGACAUCUCAGAGAUGAUCGGGUCCGCCAUUCGCGGCCAAAGCGGGGCCGAGGGAGGCGCGGCACCCGCCGUGUGCCGGAGAUGAGCGGGAGCGGGGAUGGGGGAAACCGAGCUCAGCGGCCCCCGGGCAUAGGAGGGCGAGAG